GGAUGCGAUCAUACCAGCACUAAAGCACCGGAUCACAUCAGAACUCUGAAGUUAAGCGUGCUUGGGCGAGAGUAGUACUAGGAUGGGUGACCUCCAGGGAAGUCCUCGUGUUGCAUUCC
rnacentral:rRNA from 2 species